AAGGGACAGCAGUCGCCGCGGUAAUACGGAGGGAGCUAGCGUUGUUCGGAAUUACUGGGCGUAAAGCGCGCGUAGGCGGUUACUCAAGUCAGAGGUGAAAGCCCGGGGCUCAACCCCGGAACUGCCUUUGAAACUAGGUGACUAGAAUCUUGGAGAGGUCAGUGGAAUUCCGAGUGUAGAGGUGAAAUUCGUAGAUAUUCGGAAGAACACCAGUGGCGAAGGCGACUGACUGGACAAGUAUUGACGCUGAGGUGCGAAAGCGUGGGGAGCAAACAGGAUUAGAUACCCCCGUAGUCCCUGUCUCUUAUAC
rnacentral:rRNA from 1 species